AGCGUAGACGGCUGUGCAAGUCUGAUGUGAAAGGCAGGGGCUCAACUCCUGGACUGCAUUGGAAACUGUGUAGCUUGAGUGCCGGAGAGGUAAGCGGAAUUCCUAGUGUAGCGGUGAAAUGCGUAGAUAUUAGGAGGAACACCAGUGGCGAAGGCGGCUUACUGGACGGUAACUGACGUUGAGGCUCAAAAGCGUGGGGAGCAAACA
rnacentral:rRNA from 1 species